UCCAGACUCCUACGGGAGGCAGCAGUGAGGAAUAUUGGUCAAUGGCCGAGAGGCUGAACCAACCAAGUCGCGUGAGGGAAGAAUGUCCUAAGGAUUGUAAACCUCUUUUGUCGGGGAGCAAAAAGGCUCUGCGGAGUCGUAUUGAGAGUACCCGGAGAAAAAGCAUCGGCUAACUCCGUGCCAGCAGCCGCGGUAAUACGGAGGAUGCGAGCGUUAUCCGGAUUUAUUGGGUUUAAAGGGUGCGUAGGCGGGCUUUUAAGUCAGCGGUAAAAAUUCGGGGCUCAACCCCGUCCGGCCGUUGAAACUGGGGGCCUUGAGUGGGCGAGAAGAAGGCGGAAUGCGUGGUGUAGCGGUGAAAUGCAUAGAUAUCACGCAGAACCCCGAUUGCGAAGGCAGCCUUCCGGCGCCCUACUGACGCUGAGGCACGAAAGUGCGGGGAUCGAACAGGAUUAGAUACCCCCGUA
rnacentral:rRNA from 1 species